CAGUAGCCACGGGAAUACAGAGGGUGCGAGCGUUAAUCGGAUUUACUGGGCGUAAAGCGUGCGUAGGCGGCUUCUUAAGUCGGAUGUGAAAUCCCUGAGCUUAACUUAGGAAUUGCAUUCGAUACUGGGAAGCUAGAGUAUGGGAGAGGAUGGUAGAAUUCCAGGUGUAGCGGUGAAAUGCGUAGAGAUCUGGAGGAAUACCGAUGGCGAAGGCAGCCAUCUGGCCUAAUACUGACGCUGAGGUACGAAAGCAUGGGGAGCAAACAGGAUUAGAUACCCGUGUAGUCCCUGUCUCUUAUAA
rnacentral:rRNA from 1 species